UACGGAGGGUGCGAGCGUUGUCCGGAUUUAUUGGGUUUAAAGGGUGCGUAGGUGGCUGUUUAAGUCCGUGGUGAAAUACGGUUGCUCAACAAUCGAGGUGCCAUUGAUACUGAAUAGCUUGAAAUAAUUGGAGGCUGCCGGAAUGGAUGGUGUAGCGGUGAAAUGCAUAGAUAUCAUCCAGAACACCGAUUGCGAAGGCAGGUGGCUACGAUUUGUUUGACACUGAGGCACGAAAGCAUGGGGAGCAAACAGG
rnacentral:rRNA from 1 species